ensembl:misc_RNA Metazoa_SRP Metazoan signal recognition particle RNA
GCUGGGCGUGGUGGCUCACGCCUGUAAUCCCAGUAAUUUGGGAGGCUGAGGUGGGCGGAUCACCUGAGGUCAGGAGUUCAAGAUCAGCCUGGCCAACAUGGUGAAACCCCAUCUCUA